AUGAAGACAUUUUAGCAGUCUUAUUUUGUAAAACACUUUCAGUCUCGUUUGUAUUCGCCAACAACAUUGCACUACGUAUUUAAUUAUAGUAAUUGUCAUAUGACCAGCAUUGUUCUCCUCACGCGAUAAAGGUUCGUUGAUGACGACAUUUAGUCAUAAUUUUCGGUGUCAAAAGCAACACUAUUUGCAACUACUGGUGGUGGUGGUUAUCAGGUACUAAACUCAUAAAGCAAAAUUUGGCUAUAUAACUCAAGGUUAACCUGCAGCAACCCCGGCAAGUUUGACCACGUCGGUGGAUCAUCUAGAAAACACUCUUGAGUUCGGUGUCACGUUGGUGGCAUAUCAUGGAAAAAAUAAAGCUCAAGGUUCGCAGCGGCGACCCCGGUGAGUGCGUUGGCCAAAGCGCAGUGGUAACAACUCGGGCACUCGUAACUAUGACCACGUCGGUGGCACGUUAUCUAUUACUCAUGGUUGACUGCAGUAACCCCGGUGAGUGCGUUGACCAUGUCAACGCACAAUUGGGGCACAACUCAGGCACUCGUGAGUUUGUUGCACACGUCGGUGCGGUACAACACAGUACUCAACGUCCUACAUCCGGUCGAGUUCAAGGUUCUUUCUUCAAGCGCACACAAUGCUCUCUAACGUCGGUUAAGACAGGUUUUACACGUUUGCAACCAUAGCUGUUUUUGGCGGCCUGUUCCUUUCUAGUGUUAGUCUAGUCUUGUGUCAAGCUGUCAUUUUAGUUUUUAUUAGUUUUAGUUACAUUCAUACUCUUUCCAGUGUUAUCGUAAUUCCAUUUAGAUAUUAUCGAAGUUACAAGUGCGUAGUUUUGUUAAAUAAGGUAAACGGUUGAAAAUUGAUGUUAUGUCUGGAACAGUUGAAGUUCCAGUUGAACAAAAUAACGUUAUAAGUCUUUAUCGCCUAGUUUAGGUCAACGAAAAUGAAGAGACAUUUUAGCAGUCUUAUUUUCGUAAAACACUUUUUUAGUCUUGUUUUAUUCGCCAACUAUAUUGUACUAUGCUUUUAAUCACAGCUAUUGUCACACGCCCAGCAUCCACGUUGCGUCCAGUCUCGUUUUUCUCACGCGAUAAAGGUUCGUGAUGACGAUAUUUUGUCAUUAUUUUCGUUGCUAAAAGCGACAUUAUUUGCAACUACUGGUGGUG
ensembl:lncRNA